rnacentral:rRNA from 1 species
UUAAGUUAUUAAGGGCGCACGGUGGAUGCCUUGGCACUAGAAGCCGAUGAAGGACGUUACUAACGACGAUAUGCUUUGGGGAGCUGUAAGUAAGCUUUGAUCCAGAGAUUUCCGAAUGGGGAAACCCAGCAUGAGUUAUGUCAUGUUAUCGAUAUGUGAAUACAUAGCAUAUCAGAAGGCACACCCGGAGAACUGAAACAUCUUAGUACCCGGAGGAAGAGAAAGAAAAUUCGAUUCCCUUAGUAGCGGCGAGCGAAACGGGAAGAGCCCAAACCAACAAGCUUGCUUGUUGGGGUUGUAGGACACUCUAUACGGAGUUACAAAGGACGACAUUAGACGAAUCAUCUGGAAAGAUGAAUCAAAGAAGGUAAUAAUCCUGUAGUCGAAAAUGUUGUCUCUCUUGAGUGNNNNNNAUCCUGAGUACGACGGAGCACGUGAAAUUCCGUCGGAAUCUGGGAGGACCAUCUCCUAAGGCUAAAUACUCUCUAGUGACCGAUAGUGAACCAGUACCGUGAGGGAAAGGUGAAAAGCACCCCGGAAGGGGAGUGAAAUAGAACCUGAAACCGUGUGCUUACAAGUAGUCAGAGCCCGUUAAUGGGUGAUGGCGUGCCUUUUGUAGAAUGAACCGGCGAGUUACGAUUUGAUGCAAGGUUAAGCAGUAAAUGUGGAGCCGUAGCGAAAGCGAGUCUGAAUAGGGCGUUUAGUAUUUGGUCGUAGACCCGAAACCAGGUGAUCUACCCUUGGUCAGGUUGAAGUUCAGGUAACACUGAAUGGAGGACCGAACCGACUUACGUUGAAAAGUGAGCGGAUGAACUGAGGGUAGCGGAGAAAUUCCAAUCGAACCUGGAGAUAGCUGGUUCUCUCCGAAAUAGCUUUAGGGCUAGCCUCAAGUGAUGAUUAUUGGAGGUAGAGCACUGUUUGGACGAGGGGCCCCUCUCGGGUUACCGAAUUCAGACAAACUCCGAAUGCCAAUUAAUUUAACUUGGGAGUCAGAACAUGGGUGAUAAGGUCCGUGUUCGAAAGGGAAACAGCCCAGACCACCAGCUAAGGUCCCAAAAUAUAUGUUAAGUGGAAAAGGAUGUGGCGUUGCCCAGACAACUAGGAUGUUGGCUUAGAAGCAGCCAUCAUUUAAAGAGUGCGUAAUAGCUCACUAGUCGAGUGACACUGCGCCGAAAAUGUACCGGGGCUAAACAUAUUACCGAAGCUGUGGAUUGUCCUUUGGACAAUGGUAGGAGAGCGUUCUAAGGGCGUUGAAGCAUGAUCGUAAGGACAUGUGGAGCGCUUAGAAGUGAGAAUGCCGGUGUGAGUAGCGAAAGACGGGUGAGAAUCCCGUCCACCGAUUGACUAAGGUUUCCAGAGGAAGGCUCGUCCGCUCUGGGUUAGUCGGGUCCUAAGCUGAGGCCGACAGGCGUAGGCGAUGGAUAACAGGUUGAUAUUCCUGUACCACCUAUAAUCGUUUUAAUCGAUGGGGGGACGCAGUAGGAUAGGCGAAGCGUGCGAUUGGAUUGCACGUCUAAGCAGUAAGGCUGAGUAUUAGGCAAAUCCGGUACUCGUUAAGGCUGAGCUGUGAUGGGGAGAAGACAUUGUGUCUUCGAGUCGUUGAUUUCACACUGCCGAGAAAAGCCUCUAGAUAGAAAAUAGGUGCCCGUACCGCAAACCGACACAGGUAGUCAAGAUGAGAAUUCUAAGGUGAGCGAGCGAACUCUCGUUAAGGAACUCGGCAAAAUGACCCCGUAACUUCGGGAGAAGGGGUGCUCUUUAGGGUUAACGCCCAGAAGAGCCGCAGUGAAUAGGCCCAAGCGACUGUUUAUCAAAAACACAGGUCUCUGCUAAACCGUAAGGUGAUGUAUAGGGGCUGACGCCUGCCCGGUGCUGGAAGGUUAAGAGGAGUGGUUAGCUUCUGCGAAGCUACGAAUCGAAGCCCCAGUAAACGGCGGCCGUAACUAUAACGGUCCUAAGGUAGCGAAAUUCCUUGUCGGGUAAGUUCCGACCCGCACGAAAGGCGUAACGAUUUGGGCACUGUCUCAACGAGAGACUCGGUGAAAUCAUAGUACCUGUGAAGAUGCAGGUUACCCGCGACAGGACGGAAAGACCCCGUGGAGCUUUACUGUAGCCUGAUAUUGAAAUUCGGCACAGCUUGUACAGGAUAGGUAGGAGCCUUUGAAACGUGAGCGCUAGCUUACGUGGAGGCGCUGGUGGGAUACUACCCUAGCUGUGUUGGCUUUCUAACCCGCACCACUUAUCGUGGUGGGAGACAGUGUCAGGCGGGCAGUUUGACUGGGGCGGUCGCCUCCUAAAAGGUAACGGAGGCGCUCAAAGGUUCCCUCAGAAUGGUUGGAAAUCAUUCAUAGAGUGUAAAGGCAUAAGGGAGCUUGACUGCGAGACCUACAAGUCGAGCAGGGUCGAAAGACGGACUUAGUGAUCCGGUGGUUCCGCAUGGAAGGGCCAUCGCUCAACGGAUAAAAGCUACCCCGGGGAUAACAGGCUUAUCUCCCCCAAGAGUUCACAUCGACGGGGAGGUUUGGCACCUCGAUGUCGGCUCAUCGCAUCCUGGGGCUGUAGUCGGUCCCAAGGGUUGGGCUGUUCGCCCAUUAAAGCGGUACGCGAGCUGGGUUCAGAACGUCGUGAGACAGUUCGGUCCCUAUCCGUCGUGGGCGUAGGAAAUUUGAGAGGAGCUGUCCUUAGUACGAGAGGACCGGGAUGGACAUACCUCUGGUGUACCAGUUGUCGUGCCAACGGCAUAGCUGGGUAGCUAUGUGUGGACGGGAUAAGUGCUGAAAGCAUCUAAGCAUGAAGCCCCCCUCAAGAUGAGAUUUCCCAACUUCGGUUAUAAGAUCCCUCAAAGAUGAUGAGGUUAAUAGGUUCGAGGUGGAAGCAUGGUGACAUGUGGAGCUGACGAAUACUAAUCGAUCGAAGACUUAAUCAA